rnacentral:rRNA from 1 species
AGUGAACGCUGGCGGUAGGCCUAACACAUGCAAGUCGAACGGCAGCACAGGAGAGCUUGCUCUCUGGGUGGCGAGUGGCGGACGGGUGAGGAGUACAUCGGAAUCUACUUUUUCGUGGGGGAUAACGUAGGGAAACUUACGCUAAUACCGCAUACGACCUACGGGUGAAAGCAGGGGACCUUCGGGCCUUGCGCGAUUGAAUGAGCCGAUGUCGGAUUAGCUAGUUGGCGGGGUAAAGGCCCACCAAGGCGACGAUCCGUAGCUGGUCUGAGGGGAUGGUCAGCCACACUGGAACUGAGACACGGUCCAGACUCCUACGGGAGGCAGCAGUGGUGAAUAUUGGACAAUGGGCGCAAGCCUGAUCCAGCCAUACCGCGUGGGUGAAGAAGGCCUUCGGGUUGUAAAGCCCUUUUGUUGGGAAAGAAAUCCAGCUGGCUAAUACCCGGUUGGGAUGACGGUACCCAAAGAAUAAGCACCGGCUAACUUCGUGCCAGCAGCCGCGGUAA